CUAAAUCAUAUGUUUAAGAUGGAGACGUAAAUUCUUGUUAACUCUGAAUGUAUUGUUUGACUGUCUUUAAUUCUCACUGAAGUAGCCAUUUCUGUCGUUAUAUCUUUAUAGAGACAACAAAACAUAUUUCUAGUAGACCGCUUACCAUCUGUGAAUCACAACGUACUGCACAAAGAGGGGGAACAUUAGAAGUGGUGACAGCAAGGAGGAAGGAUCACAAUGACAUUAUGCCUUGGGGCUCCAAGCAUGUCCCUGGUCCCUCUGUCUUCCUCUGUCAGAUGUUCACUUUUUGGCAGCUGGGGCUGACUCCAGCCCAAGAUAGUGUCUACUUCAGCAUUUUAACACAGACCAUGUGUGUACUUUUGAAACAGAUUUUCUAGUAUCCCCAUACCCUACACUUUGGUUUACAUGGAGGAACAGUCUCAGAGUGCAUGAAUAGGACCCCCUC
rnacentral:lncRNA from 1 species